UAGCUCGAUCGGUAGAGUGCUGGACUAGCGUGCCAGAGGACCUGGGUUCAAACCCCAG
rfam:Crassostrea gigas strain 05x7-T-G4-1.051#20 contig2556, whole genome shotgun sequence.